UUGUUGGUUUCGAACACCAGGAGUAAUGAUUAACAGGGACAGUCAGGGGCACUCGUAUUCCGUCGAGAGAGGUGAAAUUCUCAGACCAAUGGAAGACGAACCACUGCGAAAGCAUUUGCCAGGGAUGUUUUCACUGAUCAAGAACGAAAGUUAGGGGAUCGAAGACGAUCAGAUACCGUCGUAGUCUUAACCAUAAACCAUGCCGACUAGGGAUUGGAGGGUGUUCGUUUCGACUUCAUCAGCACCUUACGGGAAAUUAAAGUCUUUGGGUUCCGGGGGGAGUAUGGUCGCAAGGCUGAAACUUAAAGGAAUUGACGGAAGGGCACCACCAGGAGUGGAGCCUGCGGCUUAAUUUGACUCAACACGGGGAAACUUACCAGGUCCAGACAUWGUKAGGAUUGACAGAUUGAGAGCUCUUUCUUGAUUCKAUGGGUGGUGGUGCAUGGC
rnacentral:rRNA from 1 species